rnacentral:lncRNA from 1 species
GGUUAUUUGUUUUUCUGGUGUCAAGAUUUUUGAGUUCUUUAUAUAUUCUAGAGAUUAUUGCUCUAUCUGAUAUGUGUAUGGUAAGAAUUUGUUCCCAGUUAGUAGGCUCUCUAUUCACCUCACUGCUUUUUUAUUUUGCAGAGAAGAAGAUUUUGAGUUUGAAUUCAUCCCAUUUAUUGAUUCUUGAUAUUAGUUCUUAUGCUAUCUAUGCUAAGCCCCAGGCCAACAACAUUCUAAAUGAAGAAAAAUUGAAAGAAUUCCCUCUAAAAACUGGAACAAAACAGGGAUGCCCUCUUUCACCACUUCUGUUUAACAUAGUUCUUGAAACACUGGCCAGAGCAAUUAGACGAAAGAAAUUAAAGGGAUACAGAUAGGUAAAGAAGAAUUCAAUUUAGCAUUAUUUACCAGCAAUAUGAUUCUAUACCUAGAAGACCCAAAAAGUUCUACAAGAAAACUUCUAGAACUAGUAAAUGCAUUCAGCAAAGUAGCAGGAUACAAAAUCAACACCCAUAAAUCAAAGGCAUUUCUGUAUAUCAGCGACAAAUCCUCUGAAAAGGAAAACUACCCUAUUUACAAUACCAUAAAAAAAAGCCCUGGGAAUCAACUUAACAAAAGAGGUGAAAGAUCUCUACAACAAAAUUAUAGAAUGUUAAAGAAAGAAAUUAAGAUCUUAGAAGAUGAAAAGAUCUACCUUGUUCUUGGAUAGGCAGAAUUAAUAUGUUAUAAUAUGUAAUAAUUAGUAUGGUCAAAUGACCGUACUACCAAAGGCACUAUACAGAUUUAAUGCAAUUCCAAUCAAAAUCCCAAUAACAUUCCUCCUAGAAAUAGAAAAAGUAGUCAUGAAAUUCAUCUGGAAAAAUAAGAGACCCAGAAUACCUGAAACAACCCUUAGAAAAAGAGUGAAACAGGUGGCAUCACUAUACCAGAACUUAUACUAUUCUACCAUCAAUUUUUAAGGCAAAUUUAGAAUUAAUGUGAACUCACUGCUACUUUCUGGCCUGAUGUCCUUGGAGGUUAGUCUAUAUAAAAAUUAUUGAUGUAGUGUGAAUUAUGGGAGUGGGAAUUGGUAACAAGGAAGCUGUUACAGGAAUCAUGUUUUUAAUGUUUCAAAUGGUAUAUCAUUAUAUAGGUGAGCAAUAUGGAAACUUUCAAAAAUAUAAAUGGACAAAAGAAGAAAGUCAAAAACUACUCUUUCAGACACACCAAUGUUUAUAGUGGCAUAACUCACAAUAGCAAAGUUAUAGAAUCAGUCAGGUGCCCUUCGAUAGAUGAAUGGAUUAAGAUAUCAUGGUAUAUAUACACAAUGGAGUUCUAUUUAGCCAUAAAGAAGAAUAAAAUUGUGGCAUUUGCUGGUAAAUGUAUAGAAAGGGAGAACAUCAUGCUAAGUACAAUAAGCCAGACUCAACAAAUAAAAGGUUGAAUCUUUUCUCUCACCUGCAGAAGCUACACCAAAGUAAGAGGAAAGAAGGUAUGGGGGAAUAUUAUUGGAUAGAGAGAUGAUCAGGGAGUAGAAGAAAAUUGAGGGAGAAAAGGGACAGGAAAUUUAGCAUGAUUUUGACAUAAUUAAGUAUAAAUUAUGUUUAAGCAUGUAUAAAUAUAUACCACAUCAAAUUACACCUUUAUGUAUAUCUAUACAGUACCAAUUAAAAUAAAUAGAUAAAUAAGUGGAAGAAAGAUUAGUAGAAUAGAGGAUGGGGAAUAGAGGUAGGGAGGUACAGUAGGGAAAGAGGAGAUGAUAGGAACUGAAAAGGAUAAAAUUAAAUUUCAUGUGUAUAUGACUAAGUCAAAAUGAACCCUACUAUUAUGUAUAAUUACAAUGCACUAAUAAAAGCAUAAAAGCC